ensembl:lncRNA
AUGUUUGCCUUUUCACUUCCCUGCAAACAGCUAACUCUUUACGUUAAAUUCUCUCUGUUGGAUAAUUUGUGUGGUUUCUCUCUUUCGAGCUGGACUCUGACUGAAGCAGACAUGCCACCUUACGUCUUCCAUGAGAAGGACCGUAGGUUUCUGGCACAGUCCAAGUGUCCAGAGGAUUGUCAACACUCGUAUCAAUGGGCCCGUAGCUCCUGGAUUCCAGAUUAUAAGCUCUUUAAGAAAAGACUGCCUCCUCUGUACACCGUGUUCCGAGGAUCUCAUGUGGUACCAUGAACUCUGUGGGUGCUUGACAGAUACCUGGGUUACUUCUUGACUCUCAGCUAUUGAGAGCUAAGCAGAGCUAAACCAAGACAGAGUCAAAUAUCAGGCAUUUAAGAAGGCGAAUUAGAGCAUGGCUACAAGUGUUUAUGUGAGUGUUUGUGCAUAUAGAGCUCUCUGUUCCAAAACAGAUGAACAAGAAUUUGGUUUCAUUUCACAUUAGCUAUUUCUUUUCUCUUUCUUAGGGGUAUGAUUGAAACUUCCCAUCUUUUCACAGGUCUGCAGAGUCACCUCAGAAAUGUUACUUUGUUAUAUUAUAACAAAUCUUUAACAAAGUUAAAUAUUGCUAUGACCUACUUCCUUGUCAGAAGCUUCAUGAACAGAAAUAAAAUCACAAAAAGAAAUCACACAGAAUCCAUAGGAAAAAAUUCCCUAAUGUCAGUUAAAUAGUUCAAUAUGUAUACAAGUAUAUACAACACUUUCUUGGUAAACAUUAAUUAAAUGAACAAAAGAUGGGAGUUCCUGUCGUGGCGCAGUGGAAACGAAUGCGACAAGGAACCAUAAUGUUGUGUGUUUGAUCCCUGGCCUUGCUCAGUGGGUUAAGGAUCUGGCAUUGCCGUGAGCUGUGGUGUAGAUCGCAGAAUCAGCAGUCAAAUCUAAUAGUGUGGAUAAGGUUAACUUCUAAGAGAAUGACUUUGGGGGGACAGAAUGAAUUAAGAGGGCAGAUGGGAGAAGGAGAAAGAAGUGGAGGAAAAACUGGGGUGAGAAGGACUUAUUUUUAAGGCCUCAGAAGCUGGAACUCCUUUUUUUCAGGGGCCAUAUGCUCCUUUCUUUCAUUCUCAGUAUUUCUUGCACAUUGAUUUGUAACCAGGUGCUCUGCAAGGCUCCACGACUGUUGAGACAGCCCCUGCCCUUGGAGCAGCCUGGGAUUUGUGGGGAUGCUGCCGGUGUGUAUGUACAAAGUGCCUCAUCUUUCUGGACACUCUGCAACUUCUGUCUUACUGAGUUUGCGCAGUUAUGGAUCUAGUGUUCUGCCCUCCUCAGAUUUCACACUCCAAUGAAGAAACAUACCAUGUCUUAGAAUUUCAUCUUUUACUUUGGACAGCACUGUGACACUGAUUCUUUUGUUUAUUUGUUUGUUUAGUUCUGAAGAGUGCAAAAUUAUGUAUUUUUUUAUUUUUUGAUUCUUUUUUUUAAAUUGAGGUGUAGUUGAUUUACAAUGUGUUAAUUUCUGCUGUACAGCAAAGUGAUUCAUACACACACACACACAUACACACACACUUUUUAAAAAAUAUUCCUUUCCAUUAUAGUUUAUCAUAGGAAGAUAUUGAAUAUGUACUAUAAGCUUGGAUAUAAAUAUUGAUUUAAGGGAUGGUAAAAUAUUGUCAUAUAAUGAAGUUAAAGUGCUUUGCAAUAUUUAGCAAGUACAAUACUUUGUUAUUAUACUACUACAAGUUUAUUUAUAUUUAUAUUAACAAAUUUAUCAUGUCUGAAUAUGAUACAUGAAGUUCAUGGUUUUUUGUGAAUCUAAUUAAUACUUAGAGAUUUUACCUCGGGUGCUGUUUGUUAUCUCAGCAAUGUUUCUCCAAAUUGAAAUUAUUAAAACAAACAAAAAACCAAACAUAUGUAAGAACUUGUGUUAUUCAAGAAAGAUUAUUUGAGAUAACUUAGAGUAGAAGUAAAUUAUGUGAAAAUCUUGAUUACGACCACAUAAUUAGUGAUUUUGCUAGAAUGAAAACUAGAAAAGUAAAUUUCAUAGAAUAAAUUUAAUUAAUGAAUUGUGUAUGCCUUUGUUUUGUUUCAUCGAUAAUCACUGGCUCAUCAACAAAUCAACACUCAGACAUGUGCAGUAGUAAAUUCCAGGUGCCUUUGAUAUUUAGCUGAUUUUUGACCAAAUGAAAACAUACUUUUAGACAUCAGAAAGUUUUUGUUGUUAUGAAAGGUAAUUUGUGAAGGUAAGAAGAUAGAACAUAUUUUACUUAAAAGCUUUGAUUUUUUUUUUCUUUAAUUUGCUUUUUAGGGCUGCAGCUGCUGCAUAUGUAAGUUGCCUUGGCUAGGGAUCAAAUGGGAGCUACAACUGCUGGCCUAUGGCACAGCCAUAGCAAUGCUCCAUCCUUAACCCACUGGGCGAGGCCAGGGAUCCAACACACAUUCUUCUGGAUACUAGUCCGGCUCAAGCCACAAAGGGAAGUCCCUAUUAAUGUGAUUUAUAACUUUCAAGUAUUACCUCUCCUGGCAUGUGAAUCUCCCUUUGAACGCCUGCUAGAGCCCAUGCAAAAAUUAGGGGAAUUUCCACAAAGUUGUAUAUGAUAAAUACAAUUUUGCUUAUUGGUUGAUAUAAGAUCUUCAUGGACUAUAAGCAUUCUCUUUAUGGUUAUCAUUGUUUUCAUCUUAAAAAACAAAUUGCUUUGAAUUGCUGAAUAUCUUUCUCCAGCGUAUUGAAAGGAAUGUCUCUGGCGAUUUCCUUUUCUUGUGAACAAUUUCCAUGUAGUUAAACAGCAUUUGAAAAUGCAUCAGUUGGUUCAAUUGGUUUCCCUUCCUCUCUCUGAAAAGAUCAGACCCAAGUGGGGGUGGGGUGGAGGGAGGGGCCGGGGGUGGGGUGGGACCAGAGUCCCUGUCUCCUCCGAUGCGGCGGGACGGAAGAAUCCCACUGGGAGGAGGACGCCCUUUAUGUUUUGGGGCAGUGUGGGCGUCACAGCGAUGUGGGUAAGGAGGGCGUUCACGCGGAGGGGCGCCCUGGUGGGGGGUGUGGGAGCCUAGAGGUUCCAGAGGCUGAGCAGAAUAAAGAG